GCUGCCGACGGAACAUGUGAAAUCGGCCAAAAUGAACGUCGACGACUCCUCCGGCUGACGACGGCUCGGAACACACCGACCAGACUC